rnacentral:rRNA from 1 species
UAGGGAAUCUUCCGCAAUGGGCGAAAGCCUGACGGCGCAACGCCGCGUGAGUGAUGAAGGUCUUCGGAUCGUAAAACUCUGUUAUUAGGGAAGAACAAAUGUGUAAGUAACUAUGCACGUCUUGACGGUACCUAAUCAGAAAGCCACGGCUAACUACGUUCCAGCAGCCGCGGUAAUACGUAGGUGGCAAGCGUUAUCCGGAAUUAUUGGGCGUAAAGCGCGCGUAGGCGGUUUUUUAAGUCUGAUGUGAAAGCCCACGGCUCAACCGUGGAGGGUCAUUGGAAACUGGAAAACUUGAGUGCAGAAGAGGAAAGUGGAAUUCCAUGUGUAGCGGUGAAAUGCGCAGAGAUAUGGAGGAACACCAGUGGCGAAGGCGACUUUCUGGUCUGUAACUGACGCUGAUGUGCGAAAGCGUGGGGAUCAAACAGG